rnacentral:rRNA from 1 species
AUUGAACGCUGGCGGCAGGCCUAACACAUGCAAGUCGAGCGGAGCGGCGGACGGGUGAGUAAUGCCUAGGAAUCUGCCUGGUAGUGGGGGAUAACAGUUGGAAACGACUGCUAAUACCGCAUACUAUCAGAUGAGCCUAGGUCGGAUUAGCUAGUUGGUGGGGUAAAGGCCUACCAAGGCGACGAUCCGUAGCUGGUCUGAGAGGAUGAUCAGUCACACUGGAACUGAGACACGGUCCAGACUCCUACGGGAGGCAGCAGUGGGGAAUAUUGGACAAUGGGCGAAAGCCUGAUCCAGCCAUGCCGCGUGUGUGAAGAAGGUCUUCGGAUUGUAAAGCACUUUAAGUUGGGAGGCGUUACCAACAGAAGAAGCACCGGCUAACUUCGUGCCAGCAGCCGCGGUAAUAC